rnacentral:tRNA from 1 species
GCCCUUGUAGCUCAGUGGUAGAGCAACGCUUUUGUAAAGCGAAGGUCAUCGGUUCAAAUCCGUUCGAGGGCU